UUGUUGCAGUUAAAAAGCUCGUAGUUGAACUUUGGGUUUGGUUGGGUGGUCUUCCUUACGGUAGCACUACUCUGACUGAAUCUUUCCUUCUGGUGAACAAUUGUGCUUUUCAUUAAGUGCGAUUGGGACCCAGGACUUUUACUUUGAAAAAAUUAGAGUGUUUAAAGCAGGCUUACGCUUGAAUACAUUAGCAUGGAAUAAUAAAAUAGGACUUUGGUUUUAUUUUGUUGGUUUUCAAGACCGAAGUAAUGAUUAAUAGGGAUAGUUGGGGGCAUUGGUAUUUAGCCGUCAGAGGUGAAAUUCUUGGAUUGGCUAAAGACUAACUUCUGCGAAAGCAUUUGCCAAGGAUGUUUUCAUUAAUCAAGAACGAAAGUUAGGGGAUCGAAGACGAUCAGAUACCGUCGUAGUCUUAACCAUAAACUAUGCCGACUAGGGAUCGGACAAGUUCUUUUACGUCUUGUUCGGCACCUUAUGAGAAUCAAAGUUUUUAGGUUCCGGGGGGAGUAUGGUCGCAAGGCUGAAACUUAAAGGAAUUGACGGAAGGGCACCACCAGGAGUGGAGCCUGCGGCUUAAUUUGACUCAACACGGGGAAACUCACCAGGUCCAGACAUAGUAAGGAUUGACAGAU
rnacentral:rRNA from 1 species